GAACGGCAGCACGGGAGCAAUCCUGGUGGCGAGUGGCGAACGGGUGAGUAAAGUAUCGGAACGUGCCCAGUCGUGGGGGAUAACGUAGCGAAAGUUACGCUAAUACCGCAUACGAUCUAUGGAUGAAAGCGGGGGAUCGCAAGACCUCGCGCGAUUGGAGCGGCCGAUAUCAGAUUAGGUAGUUGGUGGGGUAAAGGCUCACCAAGCCGACGAUCUGUAGCUGGUCUGAGAGGACGACCAGCCACACUGGGACUGAGACACGGCCCAGACUCCUACGGGAGGCAGCAGUGGGGAAUUUUGGACAAUGGGCGAAAGCCUGAUCCAGCCAUGCCGCGUGCAGGAUGAAGGCCUUCGGGUUGUAAACUGCUUUUGUACGGAACGAAAAGGUUUGGCCUAAUAAGCUGAGCUCAUGACGGUACCGUAAGAAUAAGCACCGGCUAACUACGUG
rnacentral:rRNA from 1 species